rnacentral:rRNA from 1 species
AGCAGCAGGGAAUCUUGCGCAAUGGGCGAAAGCCUGACGCAGCAACGCCGCGUGGGGGAUGAAGGCCUUCGGGUUGUAAACCCCUUUCAGGAGGGAAGAAAUUGACGGUACCUCCAAAAGAAGGACCGGCCAACUACGUGCCAGCAGCCGCGGUAAUACGUAGGGUCCGAGCGUUAUCCGGAAUCAUUGGGCGUAAAGAGCUCGUAGGCGGUUCAGCAAGUCGGCUGUGAAAGUAUGAGGCUCAACCUCAGAAUAGCAGUCGAUACUGCUGUGACUCGAGUCCGGUAGAGGAGAAUGGAAUUCUCGGUGUAGCGGUGAAAUGCGCAGAUAUCGAGAGGAACACCAGUAGCGAAGGCGGUUCUCUGGGCCGGCACUGACGCUGAGGAGCGAAAGCGUGGGGAGCAAACAGGAUUAGAUACCCUGGUAGUCCACGCCGUAAACGUUGGAUACUAGGUGUGGCGGUUAUACCAAUGACUGCCGUGCCGAAGCUAACGCA